AGAGUUUGAUCCUGGCUCAGGAUGAACGCUGGCGGCGUGCUUAACACAUGCAAGUCGAACGAGAGAAGAUUAGUGCUUGCGCUGAUCCGAUCGAGUGGCGGACGGGUGAGUAACGCGUGGGUAACCUGCCUCAUACAGGGGAAUAACAGUUGGAAACGGCUGCUAAAACCGCAUAAGCGCACAGUAUCGCAUGAUACAGUGUGAAAAACUCCGGUGGUAUGAGAUGGACCCGCGUCUGAUUAGCUAGUUGAUAAGGUAACGGCCACCAAGGCAACGAUCAGUAGCCGGCUGAGAGGGUGAACGGCCACAGUUGGGACUGAGACACCGGCCCAAACUCCGUACGGGAGGCA
rnacentral:rRNA from 1 species